rnacentral:ribozyme from 1 species
AAAAUGAAUGAAUGAAGCAAAUGGGAAACGAUCAAAUACAAAAAGAGGCAAAUGGGUGGGAUGAUGGAUUAGAAUGGGACGUGAUGUGGAUGUGGCACCACGUCUUUCUUUGUUUGCAUCGUGUUUUUUUUUCUUUUCUCUUGAUCGU